GAGCAUGUGGUGUAGUUGUUUAUCACGCUCGCUUAGCACAUUGACGGUCCGGUUCAAUCCCGGACAUGUCCA